UCACUGCUUGCAGUGAUUGAUUAGUGGCGAACGGGUGAGUAACACGUGAGGAACUUGCCCAUGAGCGGGGGACAACAUCCGGAAACGGAUGCUAAUACCCCAUAGGUGGAUUGGUCGCAUGACGAAUUCAUUAAAGGUGGCUUCGCUACCACUCAUGGAUAGCCUCGCGGCGUAUUAGCUAGUUGGUAAGGUAAUGGCUUACCAAGGCAGUGAUACGUAGCCGACUUGAGAGGGUGAUCGGCCACACUGGGACUGAGACACGGCCCAGACUCCUACGGGAGGCAGCAGUAGGGAAUCUUCCACAAUGGGUGCAAACCUGAUGGAGCAAUGCCGCGUGAGUGAAGAAGGUCUUCGGAUCGUAAAGCUCUGUUGUUAGAGAAGAACACGUGCUAGGUAACUACUAGCGCCUUGACGGUAUCUAACCAGAAAGUCACGGCUAACUACGUGCCAGCAGCCGCGGUAAUACGUAGGUGACAAGCGUUGUCCGGAUUUAUUGGGCGUAAAAGGGAGCGCAGGCGGUCUGUUUAGUCUAAUGUGAAAGCCCACGGCUUAACCGUGGAACGGCAUUGGAAACUGACAGACUUGAAUGUAGAAGAGGAAAAUGGAAUUCCAAGUGUAGCGGUGGAAUGCGUAGAUAUUUGGAGGAACACCAGUGGCGAAGGCGAUUUUCUGGUCUAACAUUGACGCUGAGGCUCGAAAGCGUGGGGAGCGAACAGGAUUAGAUACCCUGGUAGUCCACGCCGUAAACGAUGAGUGCUAAGUGUUGGGGGCUUUCCGGCCCUCGGUGCUGGAGCUAACGUAUUAAGCACUCCGCCUGGGGAUUACGACCGCAAGGUUGAAACUCAAAAGAAUUGACGGGGACCCGCACAAGCGGUGGAGCAUGUGGUUUAAUUCGAAGCAACGCGAAGAACCUUACCAGCUCUUGACAUCUUCUGACAACUCUAGAGAUAGAGCGUUCCCUUCGGGGACAGAAUGACAGGUGGUGCAUGGUUGUCGUCAGCUCGUGUCGUGAGAUGUUGGGUUAAGUCCCGUAACGAGCGCAACCCUUGUUGUUAGUUGCCAGCAUUAAGUUGGGCACUUUAACGAGACUGCCGGUGAUAAA
rnacentral:rRNA from 1 species